rnacentral:tmRNA from 1 species
GGGGGCGUGUGGAUUCGACGGGGGCAGGCCUACAGGACUGCAGGACGAGCUGUCAUUAUCUCGCUAAACUGGUGGCAAAACACAACUGCCAACGAAGCAGUUCCUGUCGCUGCCUAACUAGGCGGCAACACGUCCAACCCGGCCUCACUCCGAUGGGUUGGGAUUGGGCGACGAAAUGUCGGAGCGCUCUAACUGCCACGCCGGUAACAGUUAGCUAAGAUAAUCGGCUGGUUCGAUGAUACUCGGUCAGCAGAGGCUCAUCGGAUGAGAUAAAAGAGCUGACUAUGCCUGUAGUAUGUUCUGGCAACCUGUUUUCGGACGGGGAGUUCGACCCUCCCCCGCCUCCACCA